GUGGGGAAUAUUGGACAAUGGACGCAAGUCUGAUCCAGCCAUGCCGCGUGAAGGAUUAAGGUCCUCUGGAUUGUAAACUUCUUUUAUAAGGGACGAAAAAAGGCUUUUCUAAGUCGUCUGACGGUACCUUAUGAAUAAGCACCGGCUAACUCCGUGCCAGCAGCCGCGGUAAUACGGAGGGUGCAAGCGUUAUCCGGAUUCACUGGGUUUAAAGGGUGCGUAGGCGGGCAGGUAAGUCAGUGGUGAAAUCCUAGAGCUUAACUCUAGAACUGCCAUUGAUACUAUCUGUCUUGAAUAUUGUGGAGGUAAGCGGAAUAUGUCAUGUAGCGGUGAAAUGCUUAGAUAUGACAUAGAACACCUAUUGCGAAGGCAGCUUACUACGCAUAUAUUGACGCUGAGGCACGAAAGCGUGGGGAUCAAACAGGAUUAGAUACCCCGGUAGUCC
rnacentral:rRNA from 1 species